CUCCAGACUCCUACGGGAGGCAGCAGUGGGGGAUAUUGCACAAUGGGGGAAACCCUGAUGCAGCGACGCCGCGUGAGUGAAGAAGUAAUUCGUUACGUAAAGCUCUAUCAGCAGGGAAGAAAAUGACGGUACCUGACUAAGAAGCCCCGGCUAACUACGUGCCAGCAGCCGCGGUAAUACGUAGGGGGCAAGCGUUAUCCGGAUUUACUGGGUGUAAAGGGAGCGUAGACGGCGGCGCAAGUCCGGAGUGAAAGCCGACGGCCCAACCGUGGGACUGCUCUGGAAACUGUGCGGCUUGAGUGCGGGAGGGGCAGGCGGAAUUCCUAGUGUAGCGGUGAAAUGCGUAGAUAUUAGGAGGAACACCAGUGGCGAAGGCGGCUUGCUGGACAGAGACUGACGUUGAGGCUCGAAAGCGUGGGGAGCAAACAGGAUUAGAUACCCUAGUA
rnacentral:rRNA from 1 species